UGCCAGACUCCUACGGGAGGCAGCAGUGAGGAAUAUUGGUCAAUGGACGCAAGUCUGAACCAGCCAUGCCGCGUGCAGGAAGACGGCUCUAUGAGUUGUAAACUGCUUUUGUACGAGGGUAAAUCCCGAUACGUGUAUCGGGUUGAAAGUAUCGUACGAAUAAGCAUCGGCUAACUCCGUGCCAGCAGCCGCGGUAAUACGGAGGAUGCGAGCGUUAUCCGGAUUUAUUGGGUUUAAAGGGUGCGUAGGCGGACUGUUAGGCCAGGGGUAAAGGCCGGGGGCCCACCCCCGGCGAGCCGUUGAAACUGGCUGUCUUGAGAUGUCGAGAGGUAUGCGGAAUGCGCAGUGUAGCGGUGAAAUGCUUAGAUAUUGCGCAGAACUCCGAUUGCGAAGGCAGCAUACCGGCGGCGAUCUGACGCUGAGGCACGAAAGCGUGGGUAUCGAACAGGAUUAGAUACCCGGGUA
rnacentral:rRNA from 1 species